rnacentral:misc_RNA from 1 species
GUGAGUCAUCGAAUCUUUGAACGCACAUUGCGCCCCUUGGUAUUCCAUGGGGCAUGCCUGUUCGAGCGUCAUUUGUACUCUCAAGCCUUGCUUGGUGCUGGGUGUUUGUUCCGCCGCGCGCGCGAACUCGCCUCAAAUCAAUUGGCAGCCGGCAGCCUGGUGUUUCGAGCGCAGCACAUUUUGCGCUCGUCGCCAAGCGGCGGCGUCCAUGAAGCCCGCAUCUACACACGCUUGACCUCGGAUCAGGUAGGGAUACCCGCUGAACUUAAGCAUAUCAAUAAGCGGAGGA